rnacentral:tRNA from 1 species
GUGAUUCGAACACUCGACCCCUUGCACCCCAUGCAAGUGCGCUACCAGGCUGCGCUACGCCCCGACUGUACUUCCAA